rnacentral:lncRNA from 1 species
UGCAGAUCUUCCUUCAAGAAAAGACUUUCUGAGAAUUUUUGCCUCUAUGGUUAUCAGUGACAGUGACCUACGGAGUCUUACUGUGUGACCAGGCUGGAGUGCAGUGGCACGAUCUUGGCUCACUGCAACCGCAACCUCUGCCUCCUGGGUUCAAGCGCUUCUCCUGCCUCAGCCUCCCGAGUAGCAGCUGGGACUACAGACCGAGUUUCACUCUUGUUGCCCAGGCUGGAGUGCAAUGGCACAAUCUUGGCUCACCGCAACCUCCGCCUCCCAGGAAUGACAUUAUCCGGAUAGCUUGGCCCAGCCUGGUCAUCCCACCCUAUUGGCAGCAGGACAACUGUGAGACAGAAACAAACAGCCUCAGCCAGCGAAAUCAGACCCUGGGGAAAGUGGAAAUGGGGUGCAGAGAGCUUGUGGAAAGAUGAAUAAAAACAAGGAAGAGGUUUGGGUAGGGAUGUGAUAAAAUAAAAACUGGAAUAUGGGAUUCUAAUUUAAAAAGAAUAAUGCUGGUUGGCAUGUGGCCAACUGAACUGAACAGAUGACACUGAAGACCAGCUUCUACUUUUUCUCCCUCCACUGGUUCCACAUAUCUACAUACUUGGUCACUGAGGAAGCCCCUAUAAUUGUAGGUCUGGGAGUGUGGCAAAUAACUGGAUUGAAAUUUAUAAUUUCGUACAGCAACUUGCGGAGAGAUUUGUGAGCCCUGAAAUGAGAUUAUCUUUCAUUGUGUUUUCUUCUCAAGCAACUAUUAUUUUGCCAUUAACUGGAGACAG